rnacentral:snRNA from 1 species
AUAUUUACCUGGCAGCAGAGAUACCAUGAUCACAAAGGUGAGGUUUACCCAUUUGCACUCAGGAUGUGCUGACUGGAUGUGGGAAACUCGACUGCAUAAUUUGUGGUAGUGGAGGGGCUGUGUUCUCCC